rnacentral:misc_RNA from 1 species
CACAGCCCGACCCAGUUGUACCAAAGCAUAUUUCUAAACCCUCUUGCUUAUCCUCGCCAUAGAUGUCCGGCGUCAACCAAGAGCCAUGCUCCUCCCCGUUCUACACAAUUUCAGUAAUCCCCUCUUAAACCCUAAACCCAACGUAAUCCUCACUGUCCCUAUUCGUACUUCCCUCUUUUCAUCCCUCUCCUUCCUCCGCUCUUUCACUAUCUCUCUCUCUCACCACCACCACCACCUACGAUGCCGCUAUCUCUACACACGGCACCACCUUUUUCUUCUCCCUGCCCCCACAUCCUCCUUUACCCUUCUAAAUCUUCACCCAUUUCAGUGUGUAAACCGUUUUAGUACUUCCACCGAACAGUUGGCGUCCGAAUCCCUUUCUCCUUCCGAAUCGGAAGAGAAAGGGGACUUCUCAAGCUACAGCGAGAACGAAAAUGACAUUUUGAAAUUCGACGGCGACCCGGGAUAUUUGGGCUCCGGUGGAGAUAUGAAGCACAUGAAUUCGCCAGCGAUUGUGGUGAGGGAGUUGGAAGAGUUGCCGGAGCAAUGGAGGCGGGCGAGAUUGGCCUGGCUGUGUAAACAAUUGCCGGCGCACAAGGCGGGAACUUUGUUGAGGAUACUUAAUGCCCAGAAAAAGUGGAUGAGGCAGGAGGAUGCUACCUAUGUUGCGUUUCAUUGUAUGCGCAUUCGCGAAAACGAGGCUGGGUUUAGGGUGUAUAAAUGGAUGAUGCAGCAACACUGGUAUCGAUUUAAUUUUGCUCUGGCUACAAAGCUUGCAGAUUACAUGGGUAAGGAACGAAAAUUUGCAAAAUGCAGGGAGAUAUUUGAUGAUAUCAUCAAUCAGGGACGUGUGCCUUGUGAGUCCACUUUUCACAUUUUGGUCAUCGCAUAUCUUAGUGCACCAGUUCAUGGUUGCUUGGAAGAAGCAUGUAGCAUAUACAAUCGCAUGAUUCAGUUGGGAGGUUACCAGCCACGACUCAGUUUGCACAAUUCUCUUUUUAGAGCUCUUGUGAGCAAACCAGGAGGUACUUCAAAACAUUAUCUCAAGCAGGCUGAGUUUAUUUUUCAUAAUUUGGUGACAUCUGGACUUGAGAUACAGAAGGAUAUUUAUUGUGGCCUAAUUUGGCUACAUAGCUAUCAGGACAACAUAGAUAAACAAAGGAUUGCAUCACUAAGGGAAGAGAUGAAGCAAGCAGGAAUAGAGGAGGGCAGGGAAGUGCUUGUAUCUAUUUUGAGAGCAUGCUCGAGGGAGGGUGAUGUGGAGGAAGCAGAAAGAACUUGGCUCAAACUCCUUAGCAUUGAUGGCGAUCUCCCCACACAAGCUUUUGUGUACAGGAUGGAAGUCUUUGCUAAGGUUGGAGAGCAUAUGAAAUGUUUGGAAAUAUUCAGGGAAAUGCAGGAACGUUUGGGUUGUGCUACUGUUGCAGCAUAUCAUAAAAUCAUGGAAGUGUUAUGUCAAGCUCAGGACGUGGAAUUGGCGGAAUUGCUCAUGCAAGAGUUCAUUGAGAGUGGUAUGAAGCCCCUUAUGCAAGGUUUUAUUUAUCUAAUGAAUAUGUACCUUUAUUUAAAUUUGCAUGAUAAAUUGAAGUCAGCUUUCUCUGCAUGCCUUGAGACCUGUCAACCAAACCGGACUAUUUGCAAU